UCCUGACCUCCGUCAGCUUCCCACGGUGACAGAUGUCGUCAUGUUGCGAUCUCCAUUCCCAGAUCUGUUGGUACAACCCCACACAACACAGUAAAGUGAAUGAUGAACACUCUGAAGACCAAGAGGAUAGAAAUGGACUCAUUGCCAGGAGAGCAGAUGUCUUCCUGUCAGCUUCUUGUUUCAACUGGACUUUUGCUGAUCUCCUGCCAUGGCGUUACUUGGGGCUGUCAUCUCCUCAACCCGUCCAUUCUACAAACAUCUUCCAGUGAAUUAUCGACUCGUGGUCUGUCUGAUAACAACAGCAACUCUGCACAAGAUGGCCGCAUAAUCUUCCAACAAGAACGACUUCGGAGCUGAGACAGAGGUCUUGAUGAAGAAGGGCACUCUGAGAGUGGACUGACCUUCCCCUGACCACCCGCUCUGGUUUUUACAGACCUUUUGCAGAGGUAAGUGAGGAAAGCAAUAUUUCCUAGCUGGAGCAGACAUGAGUGAUGAAUGGUAAAGAUGGUGCUGAUAGAGGGUAAUGAUUGUGUUCCUUUCUUCUCCCUGUCUCACUGAGCCUGAGUCUGGGUUAAUGGGAGUCGGGUCAAAGGAGGCCAGUGUGAUACUGUUAUACUCUGGUCUUCCUCCUGGAAGGAAUACAUUCUGACAGUCUGGUCACAGAACUUUCUGCUGUGAUGCAGGUCAGGAAAGGUCACCUUAGUGAGACAACAGACAAUUAACCUUUGACUUUUUAACUAUGGGAGCCACCUAUAUCUUUGUCUUUUUUGUAGCAUUUUUGAGUUAUUGAAAUAUAUAGUACAUAUAUAAAAUACAUGCUUGCAGGUGUAUACAGUUAAAUACAGUUUGUGGAUAUUGUCCUUAUAGAAGAUGUAGAAGACCAUUACUAAAAUCACAUAUCUGCAAAUGUGCUGCUAGAAAAUGUCUACGUAGGCUAAGAGAGCAGUCGACUCCCAGUUACAGUGGUAACUCACCAGAAACUCAGCCCUCAUUCUGCUGAGCAGGGAGGUUGUGGAAAUCUACAUUUUCACCACACCAGCAUGUUGAGCACUUUUCCGUUGUCUUGUGCCGUUAAGAAAACAAUUACUACAGCCUCCAUAACUCUGCUGGGCCCAACAGCAGCAGUCACAGCUGCCAUAUGGUGUCUGUUGAAACUGUACAGUCUCUGAACAAAACAUUUAUGCUCACCCUCAGGCAUUAUAUCAUCCUGAGUCCU